CUUUAAAAAUAUUACUGAAUUGUCGAAACCAUACAACACAUAAUAGAAACAAGAGAACUCCUUCUUUCGUUGAUGUUCGCUAAUCCGUGACUUGGAGUGUGAGGUGUUCCUCACAGCGACGUACAUUAUUUUAGUAUUAUUAUUAUUUAUAGUAACAAAUUAUUUGCACUUUUAAACUUAAAGACAAUCAAUAUUACGCUCCGCCCUUUGGGCUAUUGACUUUGAUUUUUUAUUUGAUUGGCAUCAGAGAGUGUUCAGAAGAUUUAUUCGGAUUAAUAACUGCAGAUGAGUUUAAUCAUCGGACGUCGAGGCAGAAUACGAACUUCCACCCGUAUCACCUCGACGUCUGUCGUUCCAUAACUGAGCAUUUGUAAGGAUUUUUUGCCGCGCACCAUGAUUAUGUGGGACCACCUGCCGAUAGAAGUAAUUCCAAACCAAAUUUACUUACCUUCGGGAAAAGAGGGUACUGAUUCUUAAAAGGUCGGCAACGCUCUUGUGAGCCCUCUAGCAGUAUCACAUAAAAUCAGAUUAGCCUCCUGCUCUUGGCUUACGGUUCGGAACCUGCAUUUAUCGGAAAGAUGAAAAUAUCUCAUUCAUCACAUAUCAUAUAGGAUAUUAAAUUGCCCAGCGUUACUUACAGCAACUAGGUAUCGAUUUUAGAAAGGAAACACCAUAUUCUUAGAAAUAAAACUUGAACAUGAGAAACAGUAACAAAAUUUAAUUUUUCCUGUAAUGAGAAAACUGAAACUAAAGGCAGAAGGUUUAAGUCCAUAAUAAAGAUAUAAAGAAUAUAAUUAUAUAGGUAAACUAUUCGAUUUUAACAGUGUAAGAUGUUUUUUUAUAAAAAUAAGUAUAUUUGUUUUAUAAUUUUGAGAAAAUAAAAAAAUAAGUAUAUAAUUUUUGUUAGGCGUCAUUCAAUGUGGUUGAAAAUAUUUGUAUUAUAAUUCAGAGAGAAUCGGGAGAUCCCUGACGACCCAGGUUAUCGCGAACAAAUUAGUUAGUUCUUACAAAAUGACGCAGCGCUAUUAUAGACUUUAAUUCAUUACAAUAAAGACGCCAAUUAAUCAGCAGUCAGUUCUUGGACGCAGAUGUUAUAUUGGCGUCAUAAUACACAUGAAUACUACUAAAAUGCCGUGCGUUAUUUAUUGAGAGCUUUAUUUCAAAAGCAAUAACGUUCAGUUUAUAUUCAUUUUUGUUUUUAACUGGUUUGGUACGUUUGUCGUUAACAUACAAUAUAAACUAGACGCAUUGCAAGAAUCUUCACAAUACAAAAAGCAGCACGCUUCAUAACUUGUUACUGACAAAGGAAGAAAAAAAAAACAAAAAUGAAUUUCGGAAAAUUGUUCUUCUUCAUCUUCGCCUGCGUCUUGGCUUUGAGCUCGGUGUCGGCGGCGCCAAAAUGGAAGAUUUUCAAGAAAAUUGAACACAUGGGCCAAAACAUUCGUGAUGGUCUCAUCAAGGCUGGCCCUGCAGUUCAAGUUGUGGGUCAAGCCGCAACCAUCUAUAAAGGAAAAUAGAGAAACAAGAAGAAUGAUGCUAUACCAAAAAUAAGGAGUUAUUUACAAUAAGAAUUCAAGACCAAAAGUUUGAACAAAAAGGAAGUUAUCGAAUUUCAAUACCUUGAUACCCGAUCUCUUACUUUGGAAACAAAUGGUUUUAUAACAAAACAAAAUUUCUCAUUUAUAAGUUCGUUUAUUUCAUACCAUCGGGAUUGCUCUGUAACCGAUACCAAUGACUAUUUAUUUAGUUAAUAAUAGCUAGGCUUGGAAUACUAUGUAGUAGAUCUGGUACCUCAAACGGUGACUGAUGUGUAUAUUAUGGUUAUGAUUCUAUUGUACAUGAUUAUCUGUACUUACUGCCCAUAUACUUGAAAUAGGUUAUUUAAAUGUAAGAUCAUAGUAUUAUUUGUAAAUAAAUAUUUAAAGUUA